AUGGGCCUUCCAACACUAGGUGAAAAAGAGCAGCCAAAUGAGAAGGAAAUUUCACCAAUACUAUUGCAGUGGUUGGAAUGUAUUGCUCAGCUGAUGCGCAUGUACCCGUCUGCAUUUGAGUUUUCAUCCAUAUUUCUGGUGGAUUUUAUGGAUGCUGUGCUAUCGUGCCGUUUUGGUAACUUCCUAUGCAAUAGUGAGGAGGAAAGGGCACGUGCUGAUGUCGUGAACUCUUGUCCUUGCAUUUGGGAGCAUUUGGCUGAUAUGUGGGCCUCCUGCGGCAUGGUCCACAAGCACAUGAAUACUUUUUACAACCCAAGCAAAUAUACUGGUGCCAUUGUCCCGCCAGCUUCAGCGCUUACUCCCAUACUUUGGCCUGAAUUUUAUUUGAGAUGGACUUGUCCACUUGAAUCACAAAGGGAGAGCGAUUAUGUGGAAGCAUUGAAGUCAAAGAAGGAUGCUGAGCCUCGAAGCACGGUAGCAGAACUGGAAGGGAGCCAUACAGACGUGGCCAAGCCAAGUGGUGGAAAUUGUAGACUUCGGGUAGUGGGCUCCAAUGUUUUGAUGUGA
rnacentral:rRNA from 1 species